rnacentral:rRNA from 1 species
CGCAUCUGUGCAUGCAGCAUAUCAAUAAGCGGAGGAAAAGAAACUAACAAGGAUUCCCCUAGUAACGGCGAGUGAAGCGGGAAGAGCUCAAAUUUGAAAUCUUAAAGGGUUUCCCUUUACGAAUUGUAGUUUAAAGAAGUGUUUUCUGUUGAGGUUUCGGUAAAAGUUCUUUGGAAUAGGACAUCAUAGAGGGUGAGAAUCCCGUAUUUGACCUUUACUUUCAACUUUGUGAUACACUUUCAAAGAGUCGGAUUGUUUGGGAAUGCAGUCCAAAAUGGGUGGUAAAUUUCAUCUAAAGCUAAAUAUUGGCGAGAGACCGAUAGCGAACAAGUACCGUGAGGGAAAGAUGAAAAGAACUUUGAAAAGAGAGUUAAACAGUACGUGAAAUUGUCAAAAGGGAAGCGUUUGACACCAGUGUUGUUUUUCUGAAAAUCAAUUAAAGAACUGUUUAUGCUAAGCUGUUUAGACUUUAUCAGCUAAUCUGUUUAGUUUUGAGCUUUUCUUUAAUGCACUUUUCAGUUAACAAGUCAACAUCAAUUUCUUUUGCUGUAAAAAAGCUUGAGGAAGGUGGCUUGAGAUUCGUCUUAAGUGUUUAUAGCCUCUUGCCUAUGCAGUCGGAGAGAUUGAGGUCUGCAGCGUAGAUCCUUCGGGGCUAAAUGCAUUUGUGCUAAGUUAUAGCAUUUUAUAGACAACUUGUUGACUAUGAUUUGUCUUGUAGCUUACUCGCUUAUGUUAUUUUACCUACGCUUAGGAUGUUGAGUCAUCACACAUCUCU